ACAGCUGUUCUGGUAGCUAAUCAUAUGUCACGUUACUUGAACCGCAGUUGCUAUCAUCAUAGGAGGAACUAGUUAGCUUUACAUGCCACACUGAAUAAUCGGUAAACAUUCAGUUGAAAUCGGAAUAUUUAACUUCACAGAUAGGAGAUAUCAAGGUAAACGUAACCAUGGAGGAACCAGGUGCUGAUAUAGAGGUGACUGUCAAAACUUUGGACUCCCAGAGCCGAAGUUACACUGUAGGCGGACAGUUGACAGUGAAAGAGUUCAAGGAGCACAUUGCCACUUCAGUUGGGAUCCCUGUGGACAAACAGAGGCUGAUCUACCAGGGCCGAGUCCUGCAGGAUGAGAGGACCCUGACAGAGUACAACGUCGAUGGAAAAGUCAUCCACCUGGUGGAGCGGGCCCCCCCUCAGCCCUCCCAGGCAGGCUCGGGGUCAGGGGGAGCGGAGGCCGGAGCGCCGCCGUCCUCUACCACCUCCCAGGGAACGUCCCAAGUGCCCCCACACGACCGCAACGCCAACAGCUAUGUCAUGCUGGGGACCUUCAACCUCCCCGUUAACGUCAUGGACCCUCAGCAGAUCCAGAUGUCAGUCCAGCAAAUGAUGUCAGGUUUGGGUGAGAAUGCUAGGAAUGCCAGAGUCAGCACCAGCACCGGGAGCAAUGGUUCCAUGAAUGUGCACAUUGAUAUGGACCAAUCGGUGCAGAGUGAGCCCAGGCUGAGACUGCUAUUGGCUGAGAACCUGCUGAGGGACACCACUGCUCUCAUCGAGAGGAUGGAGGAUCAACCAAGCGGAACCUCAACCCAACCGGAUGCUGCUGCUGCACCUCCUCCCUCUUCCUCCUCCACUCCCUCUCCCUCCACCCAGCCCAUGGACACAUCUCCACCUUCAUCUACUCCCCCUCCAUCCUUCUCUUCCUCCACUCAAACAGAGGGAGCCGCCCAAGCUGGACCCAAUCACCCCAGCCCAGCAGAGCUGGUAGAGAUGCUGUCAGAGCUGAGGAGGGUGGAGGAGAGGCUUCAGCCAUUCGUCCAGAGAACACACUCUAUCCUAGAGUCUGCUACCACUGCAGAAUACGCCAACACCGAAAGAGAGGAGGAUCAGCGGAUUCUCAACCUGGUGGGGGAGGCCCUCCGUCUCCUGGGCAAUGCCCUGGUUGCCCUUAGUGACCUGCGCUGCAACCUGUUGAGUCCCGCCCCACGCCACUUACACGUGAUCCGGCCAAUGUCUCACUACACCGCCCCAGUGUCCAUGCCUGGAACCGUGCACCAUCACAUCCCGCUACAUAUGAACCUGGGAGCCACGGUCACAAUGGCGUCCAAUGGCAGACCAGCUACAGACGGACAGGCCCAGCCCAGUCAGACCCCCGGCCAGUCGGACCAGCCAGGUCAGGGACAGACUUCCCCCUCACAGCCUCCCCCGUCCAAUCAGCAGGCUGGACAGGGACAGCCCGGCCCCCGGGUCAUCAGGAUCAGCCACCAGACAAUGCCGGUGGUCAUGAUGCAGAUGAACACGGACGACUCUGGUGUUCCUCAGGCAGCUGGACAGCCAAAUGUUGCAGGAAUGGGUCAGCCAGGCUUCCAGAUGCCUCCUGGUGUUCAGAUGAAUCCAGACUUCAUGCAGUCCAUCGUGCAGCAGAUCGCCCAGUACACUGAGGCUGUAGCUGCUGCCACCGGGGGCGCCAUCCCUGGCCAACCCCCCCCAGCCUACCCCCCCAGGCUCCACUGCUACCUCUUCCACAACCACCACCGGCCCUAACACCCCCACCACCACCCCCACAGCCCCCCCUCCGCCUUCUCCCGGGGCCCCCCAGGCCAGGGUGGUGUUCACCCGGCCCGCCUUUGCUCCCAGGAUCCCUCCACCCGUCUUUGGCACCCGGGGGGGCCACCAUCAACCUGAGGACUAGCGUGCCGCCCAUGAUGGGUCCGCAACCAGGACAGCCCUUCCCUCCUGCUGCCCUCAAUCAGAUGAUCAGUGGACUGGUGGGACAACUCCUGAUACCUGGACAGAUGGCUGGUCAAACAGCCACCUCCUCUGCCUCUCAUGCCUUCUCCUCUGCUUCUCAUACCUUCUCCUCAUCCUCCUCCAACUCUUCUUCUUCCUCCUCAUCCUCCUCUGGCCCUAUCCCCACUCCUGCUCCUGCCCCUGGCACCACUGUUCCCCCAGGCCAGCCCGGAGCCAUCCCCACCAUGCCCCAGGGAGCUCCCCCUGACCUGGCCCAGCUCCUGGGCUCUCUCCUGGGGACCGCAGGGGCAGUUCCUGGGGCCAUGGGACCCUCCAUCACUGUGACUAUGCCUGGAGUGCCUGCCUUCGUCCAAGGAGUGUCUGACUUCAUGCAGGCUUCCGGACCAGUCUUCCCACCACCCCCCCAACAGUGCCCCCCAGCCCCCUGCCUCUGGUACCACCCCCCCCUCCACCCGGGACCACCCCUAACCCUCCCACGGGGGACGGUGCCGGGGCCCAGGGAGAGGCCCUGAAUCCGGAGUUGUUCACUGGGAUUGUACAGGGGGUCCUGUCCACCAUGAUGGGCUCCCUGGGCUCUCCCCAGAGCAACACUGAGAGCAUCGCCCAGUUCAUCCAGAGGCUCUCUGAGACCAGCAACAUCUUCACACCCGGCACAGGGGACGCCAUGGGUUUCUUUGGAGACCUACUGACCCUGGUGUGUCAGAACUUCUCCAUGGUGGACCUGGUCUUGCUGCUCCACGGCCAGAACCAGCCCCUGGGUCGCAUCCAAACCCAGCUGUCUCAGUUCUUCACCCAGCACUACCUCAACGGGAGCGAGCCCACCGACCACAACAUUGCUGCUGCUGCUGAUGGUCUCAUCAAUGAACUUGAGGAGUACAUUACAGAGAGCUUUUCUUCAGUGGCAGUGUUGGAGGGUGUCAACAUCACUCAGACCAACCUGUCCUUCUUCAGACAGCAGUUAACGCGUAUCGCCACACACAUACUCCGCUGCACAGACAACACGUUUGGGCCGCAGCUGCUGCAGAUGUGCAACCAGGGGCUGUUUGAGUGUCUGGCCCUUAACCUGUACUGUCUGAGAGGAGAGCAGAGUGCCCUCACUUCUGUCAUCAACCACCGCAUAAGGACGUUGUCGGCUGACAUGAACCCCAGCCUGGUGAACUGGCUGACCAGUAUGCUGACCAUGAGGCUCCAGGUCAUCCUGGAGCACAUCCCAGUCACAGAGGACCAGAUACUGCAUUAUGUCGUCCACACACAGCAGGGGGAGGCUUCUAAUGCACAGGAGCCUCAACGUGCCCAGAUCAUGGAGAUGGAGGCCACCCACUCCCCAGCCCCGGCCACCACAGCUGAGGAAGCCAUGGCGUCAUCACAGGAGACUAGGGCAGAACCCAGGGAAACUGGAGCCACCGGAGGGGCUGCGCCAUUGGGUGGCGCCAUGGCAGCAGCUGAAGCCAGCGGGAGGGAGGAGCCUGGUAGAGAGACUGAGGCCUGGACUGCUGCCGUCCCUGCUGAGUGGGUACCCAUCAUCAGACAUGACCUGAUCACCCAGAGGAAGAUGAAGGCCCAGCCUCCCAUGUCUGACGCCUAUUUACAUGGGAUGCCUGCCAAACGCAGGAAGACCGGACAAGGGGACGGCGCUCUUCUCUCCCUCUCUGACGCCGUUAGCAGGGCGGCAAGGACGGCCGGAGUCAGGCCAGUCACUUCCCCAGACAACCUGCAGGAGGAGCUUGACAGCCCUGAGCUCCAAGAGGCCUAUGCAGAGCAGGUGAAGAAAGACAUAAAGAAGCGAGUGAGAGAGGACCCGGACUUCAGCUCUCAGCAGUUCCCUAACACACACAGAGCUUUUUCAUCAGACUCAUAACCCAAACACAUCUUGUUUUGCAAACCGAUUCAAUUGAAACAUAACCAACCUGUAUACAUCACCACCAUCCUUCAGUUUUACUUUUGGAUUGCUCAGUAUCACAACUGAAUGCAGUUAAACCUACCAAUUUUUUGUUGUACCAUAGACACCUUGACUAAUUUACUGAUUUUAUUUUUCCAGCGCCUGUUUUUUUCUCCACCCUCACCAUGAUGGAACACACCUGAUUUGACAAGUUUUGUUUGGACUUUAUUUUAUGGAUGACUUUUACACUUUACCGUAACAUCUGCAAUGCUCCGUUUUGUUUAGCGUUACCAUGUCAAUAUUAUCGUGCCUAUACAUCUAACCUGUUUUGUGUUUUUCAUUAGCUUCCCUGAAAAUAAAAAUGGCUUAUUUCAAGAGUAUGCUUUCAUGGGAUGAAAGUAAAUGCUGUUUUGGUACAUGAAUGUAAGUGUGCUGAAUAAAUAACUUAGUACACUA